UACGAAGGGGGACUAGCGUUGUUCGGAAUUACUGGGCGUAAAGCGCACGUAGGCGGAUUUGUUAGUCAGGGGUGAAAUCCCGGGGCUCAACCUCGGAACUGCCUUUGAUACUGCAAGUCUCGAGUCCGAUAGAGGUGGGUGGAAUUCCUAGUGUAGAGGUGAAAUUCGUAGAUAUUAGGAAGAACACCGGUGGCGAGGGCGGCCCACUGGAUCGGUACUGACGCCGAGGUGCGAAAGCGUGGGGAGCGAACAGG
rnacentral:rRNA from 1 species